rnacentral:lncRNA from 1 species
UACCUGCCUCAGCCUCCCAAAGUGCUAAGAUUACACGCAUGAGCCACCGUGCCCAGCCAACUACUGUAUUUUCAUUUGGCCUAGCACUGUUCCCUGAAGGUUUUACCCAAGCCCUUCUAUAUAAUCCUGAAUUACAUAUAAGAUUUUUCAGGGCAAGGAUCACAUCCUAGUCUUUGCUCAAGAGACCACUGCCAAAUGUGAAUUGGUGCUUUGUAAUGAUUUGAAGACUUAACUAAGUUUGCCAUCAACCCUAGAUUUCAGUUCUCCUUUUCCUUUUCUUAGUUAAAACAACAGUGAGAAUAAGGACUGAUGAGAAAAUGAUCACAAUGUAGUUUAGAAGAUAUUAAUAUUAAUAAUUAAUUCACAGAUACAGCAUUUUGAAUUUUGCAUAAACAAAAUGAAGGAAUUGCUAGACCUUGAAUUGCUAAACUUAAAAGCAUGACCAUUUGGCCUAAAGAUAUAACAAAGAGCCAAUUUGUUAAUUAGUUACCUGAAUUGAGUAGGUAGUAUCUGAUAUUUAAAGCUACUUCAUGGUCAACUAAACACAUUUUUUUCUUCCUCAGAACUCUAUCUUGAAAAAAAACCAAAGUCCUCUGCAAAAGGACAUUUCCUGUUUGUGAACUGUGCGGUGCUCUUCCUCAGGCCCGGAAUUCUAAGGAUGAAAUGGCUACAGAGCAAACUGCAGCUGAGAGAAAACUGCUUGGAGUUUGGACAGAGGUGGAAUUGAGUGUCCACAGGCCAGCUGAGGAGGUGGUACCCAGCACUCUAUGAACCCUUCGCUCAAGUCAGCCUGGAGUAGGAGAUCUCUCUCUGUCGCCCAGUCUGGAGUGCAAUGGCACGAU